rnacentral:misc_RNA from 1 species
UCCGACUUGACGUCGGCAGUCUCGUUAGAGUGCCCUUGCGUAGCAACUAGGGACAAGGGUUGCGCUCGUUGCGGGACUUAACCCAACAUCUCACGACACGAGCUGACGACAGCCAUGCAGCACCUGUGUUCCGAUUCCCUUUCGGGCACCCCCACCUCUCAAUGGGGUUCCGGACAUGUCGAGGGUAGGUAAGGUUGUUCGCGUUGCAUCGAAUUAAUCCACAUCAUCCACCGCUUGUGCGGGUCCCCGUCAAUUCCUUUGAGUUUUAACCUUGCGGCCGUACUCCCCAGGCGGGCAACUUCACGCGUUAGCUACGGUACUGAGGAAUCGCUCCCCCAACACCCAGUUGCCAUCGUUUAGGGCGUGGACUAC